rnacentral:rRNA from 1 species
AACCCGACUCCGUGAAGCUGGAUUCGCUAGUAAUCGCGCAUCAGCCAUGGCGCGGUGAAUACGUUCCCGGGCCUUGUACACACCGCCCGUCAAGCCAUGGGAGCCGGGAGUGCCUGAAGUCCGUGACCGCGAGGAGCGGCCUAGGGUAAGACCGGUGACUGGGGCUAAGUCGUAACAAGGUACC